UACGGAGGGUGCAAGCGUUAUCCGGAUUUACUGGGUUUAAAGGGUGCGUAGGUGGGUAGGUAAGUCAGUGGUGAAAUCUUCAAGCUUAACUUGGAAACUGCCAUUGAUACUAUUUAUCUUGAAUACUUUGGAGGUAAGCGGAAUAUGUCAUGUAGCGGUGAAAUGCUUAGAUAUGACAUAGAACACCAAUUGCGAAGGCAGCUUACUACACAGUUAUUGACACUGAGGCGCGAAAGCUAGGGGAGCAAACGGG
rnacentral:rRNA from 1 species